UAACUGCUGAAAUGGCCGAGGCUUUAAUUUGCAUCCAGAAUUGGUUAAGGCCUUCUUUUACCUAUUUCAAAGAUAUGAAUCUCAUGGAAGAUUUUGAGCUUUCAGAAGAUAUUGUAACAGAGUUUCAACAAAUGUCUUUAGCAGCAAAAGGAGUAUCAGGUGUCUCAUCAUCACAGUCUCAGCCACAACCUUCGGGUUGUGCUUGAAAUGGAUGUCAACUAUGUUUUUUGAUUUUUUGGAGUCAUGCAUGAUUUUUUGUUGAUGGUCAACUAUGAUUUUUGAUUUUUUGGAGUCAUGCAUGACCUAUAUAUAUGAGUUUUUGGCCAGUAAGUACCAUUGAUCUAACUUACUGAAGUGAUGAAACGGUUUAUUAUAUCAAAGAGUUUUGUUCUCUCUCUUUUGCCAAUGGAUUUCCAUCUGUCAGUAAUGCAGUCCUAUGUGCUAAAGCUUCAAUGCU